GAAGCUGGCUAGACAGUCGCUGCGCACCUUGGGUUGCGUAGAGGAAAGUCCGGGCUCCGCAGAGCAGGAUGCCGGUUAACGACCGGACGCCGUGAGGCGAUGGAAAGUGCCACAGAGAACAGACCGCCGAUGAACUGAUUUCGGUCAGGGUCAGGCAAGGGUGAAACGGCGAGGUAAGAGCUCACCGCGGACGUGGUAACACGGACGGCACGGUAAACCCCAUCCGGAGCAAGACCAAAUAGGCUGGCCAUGACGUUGCUCGCGUCGCCAG
rnacentral:RNase_P_RNA from 1 species